GUGGUGCGGCGGCAGCAGGAGGCCCCAUUAGCUAAAGUGGUGCUUCAGGUUAAGAACAGUUUCAGGUUAAGAACGGACCUCUGGAACGAAUUAAGUAAUUAACCCGAGGUACCACUGUACAUACAUCACAGAAUCCUGAGUGUGUUGUUUAUCUCCUGUCUGCCAUUUACCUGAUUGCAUUAUCUGGGUUUUGGCCACUCUUUUGUUAUUAUAACUGCUUAAUUCCUGAAUCAAGGUCACAGGUUCACCCUAUUCACACCGAAAAUGUGCCCCUUAAGGCACAGAGACAAUGGGGAGAUUUCCCAUUUCCUUCAACCUUGCAGAGAAAUAUUUGAGGUCAUUUUGGGAGAGAGAAAAUGGCUUCAGGAC